rnacentral:pre_miRNA from 1 species
AUCCAGUUAUCCACUUCAAUCCACAUGUGUUGGAGUGGAUUGGAAUGGAACUUAGUUUAAUUCCACUCCAAUCCACUUCAACACAUGUGGAUUGAGAUGAAUACAUGU